CCUACGGGAGGCAGCAGUGGGGAAUAUUGCACAAUGGGGGAAACCCUGAUGCAGCGACGCCGCGUGAGUGAAGAAGUAAUUCGUUAUGUAAAGCUCUAUCAGCAGGGAAGAAAAUGACGGUACCUGAGUAAGAAGCCCCGGCUAACUACGUGCCAGCAGCCGCGGUAAUACGUAGGGGGCAAGCGUUAUCCGGAUUUACUGGGUGUAAAGGGAGCGUAGACGGCAGUGCAAGUCUGGAGUGAAAGGCGGGGGCUCAACCCCCGGACUGCUCUGGAAACUGUACGGCUGGAGUGCAGGAGAGGUAAGUGGAAGUCCUAGUGUAGCGGUGGAAUGCGUAGAUAUUAGGAGGAACACCAGUGGCGAAGGCGGCUUACUGGACUGUAACUGACGUUGAGGCUCGAAAGCGUGGGGAGCAAACAGGAUUAGAUACCCCUGUAGUC
rnacentral:rRNA from 1 species